rnacentral:rRNA from 1 species
AUACGGAGGGUGCAAGCGUUAUUCGGAAUUACUGGGCUUAAAGGGCGCGUAGGCGGCCCCUUAAGUCGGAUGUGAAAGCCCGGGGCCUAACCCCGGAAGUGCAUUCGAUACUGGGAGGCUUGAGUAUGGGAGAGGGAAGUGGAAUUCCUGGUGUAGAGGUGAAAUUCGUAGAUAUCAGGAGGAACACCUGUGGCGAAGGCGACUUCCUGGACCAAUACUGACGCUGAGGCGCGAAGGCGUGGGGAGCAAACAGGAUUAGAUACCCUGGUAGUCCACGCAGUAAACGGUGAUCACUAGGUGUAGCGGGUAUUGACCCCUGCUGUGCCGCAGCUAACGCAUUAAGUGAUCCGCCUGGGGAGUACGGCCGCAAGGUUAAA